rnacentral:rRNA from 1 species
UACGGAGGGUGCAAGCGUUGUCCGGAAUCACUGGGCGUAAAGGGCGCGUAGGCGGCUCAUGAAGGCUGUGGUGAAAGUCCGGGGCUCAACCUCGGAUCGGCCGUGGCGACUCGUGGGCUGGAGCACUGUAGAGGCGGGUGGAAUUCCGGGUGUAGCGGUGGAAUGCGUAGAGAUCCGGAAGAACACCAGUGGCGAAGGCGGACCCGCUGGGCAGUGGCUGACGCUGAGGCGCGACAGCGUGGGGAGCAAACAGG